UAAGCGUGUAGGCUGGUUUUCCAGGCAAAUCCGGAAAAUCAAGGCUGAGGCGUGAUGACGAGGCACUACGGUGCUGAAGCAACAAAUGCCCUGCUUCCAGGAAAAGCCUCUAAGCAUCAGGUAACAUCAAAUCGUACCCCAAACCGACACAGGUGGUCAGGUAGAGAAUACCAAGGCGCUUGAGAGAACUCGGGUGAAGGAACUAGGCAAAAUGGUGCCGUAACUUCGGGAGAA
rnacentral:rRNA from 1 species